UCUUCGCUCCAUCUUCAAAUUUCAUUCUUCGCAAUUUCCAUACCCAUUUUUCUCAAUUUUUAUAAGCGCAGCCCUUAAGAUCGCCUUCCAAACUAUAAAUGGAAGCGUUUUGAGUCAUAGCUGCGCGAUAUCAAAUAAAAUGAACUCGUGCAUCCGCUUGAUUUAUGCGCAGCAAUGUAUAAGAGAUGAUGGAGUAGGUGAUCUCAAGUGUGUGCGAUGGGUCUUGUUCCAUUCAAGCUUAUUCAUAUUCUGAUUUCUCAUUCCUUUGUUUGUAUUAUAAUUUCAAUUGAUUUGAUCUCGAACUUUUAUUUUUUUUGUCAUAUUUCCAAUCUAUUAGAUGAAAAUAUACUAGCAUUUGGUUUUUGGUUU